GAUGAACGCUGGCGGCGUGCCUAAUACAUGCAAGUCGAGCGAACGGACGAGAAGCUUGCUUCUCUGAUGUUAGCGGCGGACGGGUGAGUAACACGUGGAUAACCUACCUAUAAGACUGGGAUAACUUCGGGAAACCGGAGCUAAUACCGGAUAAUAUUUUGAACCGCAUGGUUCAAAAGUGAAAGACGGUCUUGCUGUCACUUAUAGAUGGAUCCGCGCUGCAUUAGCUAGUUGGUAAGGUAACGGCUUACCAAGGCAACGAUGCAUAGCCGACCUGAGAGGGGGAUCGGCCACACUGGAACUGAGACACGGUCCAGACUCCUACGGGAGGCAGCAGUAGGGAAUCUUCGGCAAUGGGCGAAAGCCUGACGGAGCAACGCCGCGUGAGUGAUGAAGGUCUUCGGAUCGUAAAACUCUGUUAUUAGGGAAGAACAUAUGUGUAAGUAACUGUGCACAUCUUGACGGUACCUAAUCAGAAAGCCACGGCUAACUACGUG
rnacentral:rRNA from 1 species